ACUGGUCAAUCUAGUGGCGAACGGGUGAGUAACACGUGGGUAACCUGCCCAUCAGAGGGGGAUAACAUUCGGAAACGGAUGCUAAAACCGCAUAGGUCUUCGAACCGCAUGGUUUGAAGAGGAAAAGAGGCGCAAGCUUCUGCUGAUGGAUGGACCCGCGGUGCAUUAGCUAGUUGGUGAGGUAACGGCUCACCAAGGCCGUGAUGCAUAGCCGACCUGAGAGGGUGAUCGGCCACAUUGGGACUGAGACACGGCCCAAACUCCUACGGGAGGCAGCAGUAGGGAAUCUUCCGCAAUGGACGCAAGUCUGACGGAGCAACGCCGCGUGAGUGAAGAAGGUUUUCGGAUCGUAAAACUCUGUUGUUAGAGAAGAACAAGUGCUAGAGUAACUGUUAGCGCCUUGACGGUAUCUAACCAGAAAGCCACGGCUAACUACGUGCCAGCAGCCGCGGUAAUACGUAGGUGGCAAGCGUUGUCCGGAUUUAUUGGGCGUAAAGCGAGCGCAGGCGGUUCCUUAAGUCUGAUGUGAAAGCCCCCGGCUCAACCGGGGAGGGUCAUUGGAAACUGGGGAACUUGAGUGCAGAAGAGGAGAGUGGAAUUCCAUGUGUAGCGGUGAAAUGCGUAGAUAUAUGGAGGAACACCAGUGGCGAAGGCGACUCUCUGGUCUGUAACUGACGCUGAGGCUCGAAAGCGUGGGUAGCAAACAGGAUUAGAUACCCUGGUAGUCCACGCCGUAAACGAUGA
rnacentral:rRNA from 1 species